UUCCCUCAGCUCAGUUGAUAAACAAUCUGCCUGCAAUGCAGGAGACCCAGGUUCGAUUCCUGGGUGGGAAA
rnacentral:tRNA from 1 species